CCUACGGGAGGCCGCAGUGAGGAAUAUUGGUCAAUGGGCGCGAGCCUGAACCAGCCAAGUAGCGUGAAGGAUGACUGCCCUACGGGUUGUAAACUUCUUUUAUCAAGGAAUAAAGUGAGGCACGUGUGCCUUUUUGUCUGUACUUUAUGAAUAAGGAUCGGCUAACUCCGUGCCAGCAGCCGCGGUAAUACGGAGGAUCCGAGCGUUAUCCGGAUUUAUUGGGUUUAAAGGGAGCGUAGAUGGGUUGUUAAGUCAGGUGUGAAAGUGUGCGGCUCAACCGUAAAAUUGCAAUGGAUACUGGCAGUCUUGAGUAGAGUAGAGGUAGGCGGAAUGCGUGGUGUAGCGGUGAAAUGCUUAGAUAUCACGAAGAACUCCGAUUGCGAAGGCAGCUUACUAAGCUGCCACUGACACUGAGGCUCGAAAGUGUGGGUAUCAAACAGGAUUAGAUACCCUUGUAGUC
rnacentral:rRNA from 1 species